rnacentral:rRNA from 1 species
UACAGAGGCCUCGAGCGUUAGGCGGAAUCACUGGGCUUAAAGCGUGUGUAGGUGGAUGCCUAAGUACUUUGUGAAAUCCCAUGGCUUAACCAUGGAAUUGCUUGGUAUACUGGGUGUCUUGAGCCACUCAGGGGCUACUGGAACAAACGGUGGAGCGGUGAAAUGCGUAGAUAUCGUUUGGAACGCCAAUGGUGAAAACAAGUAGCUGGGGGUGUGCUGACACUGAGACACGGAAAGCCAGGGGAGCAAACCGGG